UGGUCGCUGUCCAAUGAGUGAAACCAGGUAACAGUUAAGUUACGACGAGAUUCCACACAAUCCCACUCCAUCAAAUUCACUCCCAAGGCAUUAGUCGGCCUGGGGCUAUAGUAGAAGACAUACUUUCCUGAAGAGAUCCGAAAUGGGACGAAACUUUAAAGCGCAUUCAAAUAUCUUCUGCAUAUUGGUUGGGAAUUUCUUUGCGUUCACGUCGCUUCGUAAAUCGAGAGCAUUGGCGAUUCGACGAAUAGUUGCAAAGAUAUCGGUAGGCUGACUCAUGCCUUCAAGUUAGUUUCCAUUUCGUUACACGAAGCCAAUUCAGGUUCUUGGUUUGCUUCGUUGCGCUGUGAAGCGCUUCUGAGCUUGACUUCUUUUGAUCUUUCUCACAUUUUGUCGCUAACGCCUGUCUUUCAUCGUUUUAUUCUUAACACUCGUCUCCCACAAUUUUUACGUAACGCCGAUCUCUUGCAAUUUUUUUUCCGCAACGUCAGUCUCUUAAAAUUUUCCCUAACGCUUAACUACUGUCUCUCACAAUUUUCCAUAACGCCUGUUUCUCACAAUUUUCCAUAACGCCUGUUCCUCACAAUUUUUCGUAACUCCCACCUCUCAUAAGUUUUUCCGUAACCCCUGCUUCUUACAAGGUUUUCCAUAACGCCUGUUUCUCACAAUUUCCCAUAACGCCUGUUCCUCACAAUUUUUCCGUAACUCUGACCACUUAUAAGUUUUUCCAUAACCCCUGCUUCUUACAAGGUUUUCCAUAACGCCUGUUUCUAAUAAUUUUCCAUAACACCUGUUUCUCACAAUUUUUCUGUAAUUCUCACCUCUCAUAAAUUUUUCCGUAACCCCUGCUUCUUACAAGGUUUUCCAUAACGCCUGUUUCUCACAAUUUCCCAUAACGCCUGUUCCUCACAAUUUUUCCGUAACUCCCACCUCUCAUAAGUUUUUCCGUAACCCCUGCUUCUUACAAGGUUUUCCAUAACGCCUGUUUUUCACAAUUUCCCAUAACGCCUGUUUCUCACGAUUUUUCCGUAACUCCCACCACUCAUAAGUUUUUCCAUAACCCCUGCUUCUUACAAGGUUUUCCAUAACGCCUGUUUCUAAUAAUUUUCCAUAACACCUGUUUCUCACAAUUUUUCCGUAAUUCUCACCUCUCAUAAAUUUUUCCAUAACUCCUGCUUCUUACAAGGUUUUCCAUAACGCAUGUUUCUCACAAUUUUUCCGUAACGCCUGCCUCAUUAGAUUUUCCAUACCUCCUGGUCUCUCGCCAUUUUCCCUGUAACGUCUGUCUCUCAAUUUCCCGCUAACGUCUGUCUCUCACAUUUUUUUUUAUCGUAACACAAAACCCCUGAUCGUCUGCACAAUUUUAGUUAUGUUUCACAAAUAUUCAAUUACACUCAUCUUGAAUUUCAUCUCAUAGAAGUUCCGCUUUUUCCUUCCGUGAAAUGAUGUUGGAAUAGAUUUACAGUUUAGAAACCAAUGAGCAACAACGAAUAUAUUUACAUUGACUAACGAUGAACACAAUCUUAAAACUGUAAAUAUUAACUGCAAUAAUUCUUCUCGUUACAUCUCAAUUGCCAUACUUAAUGCUAAAUUAACCUGUGAACCAAUAACUUGCUACAUAUCCGCUUAUUAAUCCACCGGUGCUCAGCCAUGCACAGACAUCAGUCUCCUGUACCAUCCGAUGCGCUCGAAAUUCCAUAAUUAUUCAAUGAUUUGUCAAUAAUUCAUUCUACCAAAGACACACGGCCUGGAAUUUGGGGGUGGGGUGGGGUGGGAUAAGGGUUAGUCGACUACACUACCAACCCCUUCCCUUGGAUUUAAAGGCACAUGUUUUAUCGACCCUGAAAAGAUAAAAAGUAAAAGUCGACUUCGGCGGCGUUUGAACGCAAAGCGCAAAGCUGCAAUAAAUGCCGCUAAGCAAUUCUUUUUUCCCGGGGGGCGCUAACGGUUCUGCUAGCUCGUCACCUUCAAUCGUCACAAUUUUUAGCACAAGGUCUGCAGUUUCAGGGCUGGGCCUAAUCGAUUAUAUCAAUUCCAGUGUUCAACUGCAACUUAUUUUAUUGAUCCUGGAAGGAUGAAAGGCAAAAGUCGACCUCAUCCUUUUUGGAGACAAAUAAAAUAAAAGUAUCAUUCAACUACUACAAUCAAUAUAUUCGACUAAACCCAAUCCACUAAAAUUGUGCAUUUAGUAGAAGGGAUUAUUAUUAAUCGUUAGUACACCGAGCGAAAUGACGAGUGGUAUUUCCCCCGUCGCUGCGUUCUGAGUUCAAAUUCCGCCGAGGUCGAUUUUUGCUUUUCAUCUUUUCGGAGGUCGAUAAGUUGAGUACUGGGGUCGAUGUAAUCGACUUAACCCCCGCUCCCUCCACCAAAUAUCAGGCCCUGUGCCUAACUUAGAAAGGAUCAUUAUUAGUAGUAUUAGUAGCAGUGGUAGUCGUGGUAGUAGUUGUAUCAAGACGGGAGAUUGGCAGAUUCGUUAGAGCCACGGAUAAGAAAAUGCCUU
rnacentral:lncRNA from 1 species